AUUGAACGCUGGCGGCAUGCUUUACACAUGCAAGUCGAACGGUAACAGGCCGCAAGGUGCUGACGAGUGGCGAACGGGUGAGUAAUGCAUCGGAACGUGCCCAGUCGUGGGGGAUAACGCAGCGAAAGUUGUGCUAAUACCGCAUACGUACUGAGGUAGAAAGUGGGGGACCUUCGGGCCUCACGCUAUUCGAGCGGCCGACGUCUGAUUAGCUAGUAGGUGAGGUAAAGGCUCACCUAGGCGACGAUCAGUAGCGGGUCUGAGAGGAUGAUCCGCCACACUGGGACUGAGACACGGCCCAGACUCCUACGGGAGGCAGCAGUGGGGAAUUUUGGACAAUGGGCGAAAGCCUGAUCCAGCCAUGCCGCGUGUCUGAAGAAGGCCUUCGGGUUGUAAAGGACUUUUGUCAGGGAGGAAAUCCCUAGUGCUAAUAACACUGGGGGAUGACAGUACCUGAAGAAUAAGUACCGGCUAACUACGUGCCAGCCGCCGCCGUAACAC
rnacentral:rRNA from 1 species